rnacentral:rRNA from 1 species
UACGAAGGGGGCUAGCGUUGCUCGGAAUCACUGGGCGUAAAGCGCACGUAGGCGGCUUCUUAAGUCAGGGGUGAAAUCCUGGAGCUCAACUCCAGAACUGCCUUUGAUACUGAGGAGCUUGAGUUCGGGAGAGGUGAGUGGAACUGCGAGUGUAGAGGUGAAAUUCGUAGAUAUUCGCAAGAACACCAGUGGCGAAGGCGGCUCACUGGCCCGGUACUGACGCUGAGGUGCGAAAGCGUGGGGAGCAAACAGG